ACUGGUAGAGGAUGGACUUAUGGCGCAUUAGCUGGUUGGUGAGGUAGCGGCUCACCAAGGCGACGAUGCGUAGCCGACCUGAGAGGGUGACCGGCCACACUGGGACUGAGACACGGCCCAGACUCCUACGGGAGGCAGCAGUAGGGAAUUUUCGGCAAUGGGGGGAACCCUGACCGAGCAACGCCGCGUGAAGGAAGAAGGAAUUCGUUCUGUAAACUUCUGUUAUAAAGGAAGAACGGCGGAUAUAGGGAAUGAUAUCCGAGUGACGGUACUUUAUGAGAAAGCCACGGCUAACUACGUGCCAGCAGCCGCGGUAAUACGUAGGUGGCGAGCGUUAUCCGGAAUUAUUGGGCGUAAAGAGGGAGCAGGCGGCGGCAGAGGUCUGUGGUGAAAGACUGAAGCUUAACUUCAGUAAGCCAUAGAAACCGGGCUGCUAGAGUGCAGGAGAGGAUCGUGGAAUUCCAUGUGUAGCGGUGAAAUGCGUAGAUAUAUGGAGGAACACCAGUGGCGAAGGCGACGGUCUGGCCUGUAACUGACGCUCAUUCCCGAAAGCGUGGGGAGCAAAUAGGAUUAGAUACCCUAGUAGUCCACGCCGUAAACGA
rnacentral:rRNA from 1 species